rnacentral:lncRNA from 1 species
UUUUAAUAAUUUUAAUUAUUAAUAUUGGAAGUAUAUUUUCUGAUAAGGAGAUUUUGUUUUAUGCCAAUAAAACAUUUUAUAUUUCAGUAACUUUCCAUGUAAAUAUGGGAAUAUAUAUUACAUAUGGGUCUGUCUGGGUUCUCUGUCUCAGUGCACUAUAAUAUUUGGCUGUACUUACAUUGCUACAACAUUACGUGAAUUAUCCUGAUGGUUUAUGUUAAGAAAUAUAUUGUUUACAUUGAGAAUCCAGUUCUUUAGAGUUCAGUUUCCAGGGAGCAUAUGUCCUCCUUUUUUGUUUUGCAUUUAAAGCAUAUCCUCCAUUCUUGCAAAUUCAACAUUCCUACAUUUUGAGGAUUUGUUUCCAAGGGGCAAUAUUAGUUAAGCAUUUCUUAGUGAAGUGUUGUUUUACUUCAUAUUUUGCCAGUUAUGUGGGCUACUACACCCUUUUCUGUUUAUUUGCAUUUUCACAAUUAAAAUAAAAAAAGACAAAACCCCCCAAACUCCCUGCUACCGUAACUUCAAGCCACAUCUCAGAACGUGAGCUUUUGGUUUAACAAGUAUAACAGGUAACAACAUUUAUGUGUCAUAUUGCCACUCCAGUAUGACUACUGUGACUGCUUUAUAGCUCUUUGGUUUAUUUAUUGUUUACCAAAAUCCCUUAAAACAAAAGCCAUAGCAAGUAGCACACUCAUUUUAGGAAAUCUAUGUGUUCGAAUUCUCAUGUUUGGCUUUUGUGUCACACUGAUUCGGCUUGUGUGUCACAAUCAUUCAGCUUCUGUGACUGCUCAUGCACUUCCAAAUGUAGAACAAUUAUUAAUAUAUUGAAGAAAUACUACUUUCCUAAACAAAAUUUACGUACAAUACAUGACAUAUAAAAUCUUGUGAUCAUUUUCAUUUUAGAAAGCCUCAACUUUUCUUAAACAAGAAAUUACUUAUUCGUUUAGAAUCUACAAAGUGGUUUUCUUCUGUUAAAAUAUAGGUUGUGGUUAAUUACUUGUUUGACCACAACCUUGCUGUCAUGGUAUUUGACAUCAUAGCUUCAGAGAUCUUGAGAAUAUUAUUUAACUUCAGCAAGCUUCCCUCUCCUAAUUAAAAAAAAAGUGAGAUUAAUAUCAGUAGGAAAAUAAUAUUUUAGAUUUGUGGUUUGGAUUAUGGGAAACAAACUGGGGAAACUACAUUGUAAGCUGAUAUUAUGCAAACUGUGAAAAUUUAUUAUGACAUACGUAUGCCACAUUCAGCUCCAAUUUCCUACAAGACUGUCAAAUUUUAUAUUUUAUUCUCUCAUUUGUUUUCAUUGCCAUGUCGUGUAAGCAAUUGCAUGGGUGGCAGAAGUCAGUAACAGAUUUCAACAGUUUAUUUCCAGUGAGAUUUCUAAUGAGCUUUUUUUUUUCUCCAAGACCUAUUUAAAAGGCAAAGUAACAAACACUUGAAUCUGUUACUUUUAAUCAAAUGUGUUAUAAAAGCUGAAAAAUUUAACGUAACAUUUUAUGUUUUCAGUUUUUUAUCAGGUAGUGAAUUAGACCCUGGAGGGAAUGUUGCUAUUUAUAAAUAAAAAUAGUAUAAAGUAAGAAAUAAGGAGUUUAAGAACAUAUAGAUAUCCUUGUAAAAGGAUUUUUAUAGUAUUUUAUCUUUCUUUGCAAAUUUGAUUGGAGUAAAACAACAAUAUUAUUCCAUUUUCACUCCCCAAUCCACUCUCACUUAAAUUUCUCAGAGAUAAACAUGGAGUUUUCCACUUCCACCUCUGCAUCUUUGUCCACUGAGGAAUUCUCUUUCCAUUUCCCCUUUAUUCCCAACAUUAACCCUCCACCUACCAUUCCACAAAGGGCACAUCCUGGCAAGUUCAUGAGAGAUUUGCCCAAAUACAAAGAGUCGGUUAGAUUUGGUGCAAGAAAAACUUGGGUAAACAUUCAGUUGGCUCUUCCUUUAACCAACAGGCAAACCAAAGUCUGCCUCUGAUCAAGCUGGGAGCCUAAUUAUAAUGUCUUAGAGGAUUUCAUUUAUUCUUGAAUACUGCCUUAUCAGAGCUUAAAAACAGACCAUUUCAUUCUAUUUCUGGUGACCUAUCAUAUGAUAUUAACCAGAAUAAAAAAUCUACCAGAGAAUGCAUUAUUUAAUUCUAUCUGGAAUCUCUUCCCAAUAAGAAUGUCCUAUCUUCAUUUUCCCCAAAACUAAUUAAAAAAUAAAGUCAUUCACUUUAUUUUUAAUCCAUUUUUAUUGUGUCAAUUAAAACAUUAUGUUACUAAAAACAUAUAAUACUAUAAUGCUUAUUUAAAAAUGGCAGUCAGUUGCCUACCCAUUUCCAUGUUAAAAAUGAACCACUGCAGGCCUAUUAUUUACUUUGUAUUUUAUUCAUUCACAUUUUUAUCACUCCAAAUGUACCCUAUUCUUUCCUUUUUAAUUUUUUAAAAAAAUUAUUUACAGUGUUCUGUCAAUUUCUGCUGUACAGCAAAGAGACCCAGUUAUACAUAUACAUAUACAUUCUUUGCUCAUAUUAUCUUCCCUCAUUUUCCAUCACAAGUGACUGGAUAUAAUUCCCCAAGCUAUAUAGCAGGACCUCAUUGCUUAUCCAUUCCAAAUGCAAUAAUUUGCAUCUACUCACCUCUGACUCCAAAUCCAUACCACUCCAUUCCCCGCCCCCUUGGCAACUUCAAGUCUGUCCUCUAUGUCCAUGAGUUUGUUCCCAUUCUGUAGAUAGAUUCAUCUGUGCCAUAUUUUAGAUUCCACAUGUAAGUGAUAUAAUAUAGUAUUUGUCUUUCCCUUUCUGACUUACUUCACUUAGCAUGAAAGUCUCUACCUCCAUCCAUGUUGCUGCAAAUGGCAUUUUUUUUUUUAAUGGUUGAUUGAUAUUCCAUUGUGUACAAGUACCACAUCCUCUUUAUCCAUUCAUCUGUUAAUGGACAUUUUGGUUGUUUCCAUGUCUUGGCUAUUGUGAAUAGUGCUGCAGUGAACAUAGGGGUGCACGUAUCUUUUUCAAUUAAACUUUUGUCUGUAUACAUGCCUGGGAAUGGGAUUGCUGAAUCAUAUGGUAGUUCUAUAUUUAGUUUCCUGAGGUACCUCCAUAUUGUUUUCCAUAGUGGUUGAACCAAUUGACAUUCCCAACAAUGGGUUCCCUUUUCUCCACACCCUCUCCAGCAUUUGUUAUUUGCUGACUUGUUAAUGAUGGCCAUUCUGACUUGUGUGAGAUGGUACCUCAUUAUAGUUUUGAUGUGCAUUUCGUUAUGUUGAGCAUUUUUUCAUGUGCCUGUUAGCCAUACCUAUGUCUUCUUUGGAGAAAUGUUUGUUUAGGUCUCCUGCCCAUUUUUCAUUUGGGUCAUUUGAUUUUUUCAUUGUUGAAUUGUUUGAGUUGUUUGUGUAUUUUGGGGAUUAAUCCCUGUUUAUUGCAUUAUUUGCAACUACUUUCUCCCAUUCUUUAGGUUGUCUUUUUUUAUGGUUUCCUUUGCUGUGCAAAAGCUUGUAAAUUUAAUUAGGUCCCAUUGGAUUAUUUUUGUUUUUAUUUCUAUUGCCUUGGGAGACUGACCUAAGAAAACAUUUGCACUGUUGAUGCAAAUGUCAGAGGAUGUUUUGCCUAUGUUCUUUUCUAGGAGUUUGAUGAUGUCUUAUGUACUUUGUGAGUAUAUUUUUAUGCAUGGUGUAAGAGGGUGUGUUCAAGGUUCACUGGUUUACGGUGCAGCUGUCCAAUUUUCCCAGCACCAUUUGCUGAAGAGACUGUCUUUUUCCCAUUUUAUAUUCUUGCCUCUUUUGUUGAAGAUUAACUGACCAUAGGUUUCUGGGUUCUCUAUUCUGUUCCGUUGGUCUGCAUGUCUGUUUUUGUACCAGUAUUACCCUGUCUUGAUUACUAUAGUUUUUUUUUUUUUUUCAGUUUGUAAUUUUGUUUUUUUAUUUUUUAUUUUUAUUAUUAAUUUAUUUUUAUUAUUAUUAAAGUAUAGUUGAUUUAUAGUGUUUUAUCAAGUUCUGUUGUACAACAAAGUGACACAAUCACACAUAUUUCACACAUAUUUCCCUGUACUGUACAGUAGGAUCCAUUGCCCAUCCAUUCCUAAUAUAACAGUUUGCCUCCCCCAAGCCCCCAAAAUGCCCGUCCAUCCUACUCCUUCCUUUUCCCUCCCCUCCCCAUAUGUUUUUAAUAUUGUCUAAAGUCUGGGAGAGUUAUGCCUCCUGCUUGGAUUUUGUUCCUCAGGAUUGCAUUGGCAAUUCUGGGUCUUUAAUGGUUCCAUAUAAACUUUUGGAUUAUUUGUUCUGUUUCUGUGAAAAAUGUCAAGGGUAAUUUGACAGGGAUCACAUUGAAUCUGUAGAUUGCUUUCAGUAGCAUGGACAUUUCUAUGAUAUUAAUUCUUCCAGUCUAGGAGCAUGGAAUAUCUUUCCACUUCUUUGAAUCCUCUUUAAUUUCCUUGACUAAUAUUUUAUAGUUCUCAGCAUAUAAGCAUUUCACCUCCUUUGUCAGGUUUAUUCCUAGGUAUUUAGUUUUUUUGUGUGCAAUUUUAAAAGGUGUUUUUUUAUAUUCCUUUUUUAAUAUUUCAUUGUUGGUAAACAGAAAUGCGACUGAUUUCUGAAUGUUAAUCUUAUAUCCUGCUAUUUUGCUGAAUUCAUUGAUCAGUUCAAGUAGUUUUUGCAUGGAGUCCUUAGGGUUUUCUAUACAUAGUAUCAUGUCAUCUGAGUAGAGUGAAAAUUUUACUUCUUCUCCAAUUUGGAUCCCUUUUAUUUCUUUUGUUUGUCUGGUUGCUGUGGCUAGGACUUCCAAUACUAUGUUGAAUAAAAGUGGUGAGAGUGGGCAACCUUAUCUUGUUUCAGAUUUUAGUGGAAAGUCUUUCAGCUUUUC